CAAAAUGGUAGCGGGCUCGGGGCGUGUAACAUACCAGAUUUUGGUAUAAAAAUAAAAAUAAAUAAAAAUAGUGUGAGAAACUAUUUUUAUUGGAUUUGUAGAAGUAAAACAUAAGUCAGAAGUGACUUGUGCUGAAAUCGGAAUGAAAACAGAAGAUCUAGAAUUUUCUGUUGGAAACGGGACAGAUAAAUAAGCAGAAAAUGCAUAGUCUCAGAAAAUUUUGAAAAUUGGCAGAGAUGUCAGAAAUAUUUUUAUGAGGCUAGAUUUAAGGUUUCAUAUUUUUCUGACACCCGUAGAGUGAGAAAUAAAAUCCGAAAGCUAUCUGAUAAAGAUUGCAGUUCGGUACAGUUUUCAGUGACCAAACGGGGUCGAAACUGAACCAGUGAUCGUCAGCUUGUUAAGUUAAGUAAAACCGAACAUGACUGUCAAGUUUGAGCUCAAACGGACAUUCAGGGAGCUCCGGCGAAAGUUAUCAGAUUUCAAGCUGCCCGGGAGUGAAUAGUGUCUUGGGGGUAUUAUUAAGAAGC
rnacentral:lncRNA from 1 species